GAGGAAGGUGAGGUCAUGAAGGUGAGGUCAUGUUGAGGAGGAAGGUGAGGUUAUGGCAUAAGAGUGGAAGGUGAGGUCAUGAUGGGGAGGUCAUGAUGAGGAGGAAGGUGAGGUCAUGAUGGUGAGGUCAUGUUGAGGAGGAAGGUGAGAUCAUGUAGGUGAGGUCAUGUUGAGGAGGAAGGUGAGGUCAUGUAGGUGAGGUCAUGUUGAGGAGGAAGGUGAGGUGAU